UACGUAGGGUGCAAGCGUUGUUCGGAAUCAUUGGGCGUAAAGCGCGUGUAGGCGGUUAGAUAAGUCGGCUGUGAAAUCCCUCGGCUCAACCGGGGAAGUGCAGUCGAAACUAUCUAGCUAGAAGAUGGUAGAGGAUGGUGGAAUUCCUAGUGUAGAGGUGAAAUUCGUAGAUAUUAGGAGGAAUACCGGUGGCGAAGGCGGCCAUCUGGGCCAUUCUUGACGCUGAGACGCGAAAGCGUGGGUAGCAAACAGG
rnacentral:rRNA from 1 species